UGGGGAAUCUUGGACAAUGGGCGCAAGCCUGAUCCAGCCAUGCCGCGUGAGUGAAGAAGGCCCUAGGGUUGUAAAGCUCUUUCGGCGGGGACGAUAAUGACGGUACCCGCAGAAGAAGCCCCGGCUAACUCCGUGCCAGCAGCCGCGGUAAUACGGAGGGGGCUAGCGUUGUUCGGAAUUACUGGGCGUAAAGCGCACGUAGGCGGGUCGUUAAGUCGGGGGUGAAAUCCUGGGGCUCAACCUCAGAACCGCCUUCGAUACUGGCGACCUUGAGUACGGGAGAGGUGAGUGGAAUUCCCAGUGUAGAGGUGAAAUUCGUAGAUAUUGGGAAGAACACCAGUGGCGAAGGCGGCUCACUGGCCCGUAACUGACGCUGAGGUGCGAAAGCGUGGGGAGCAAACA
rnacentral:rRNA from 1 species